GUAGCUGAAUUUAACAUCUCGGAACAUGAUAUGGCCUUGGACGCUUGGAAGACUCCUUCCACUGCGUUUCUCAUGACUGGACUUACGAUCUGCAGCAACAUCGAUCAAUCGGAAUAUCGAGUAUGCCGCCGUCCUGGCUCUGACGAAGGUGACCAAAUUCGGUGCUCCCUGGCCAAGCGCUCUGGACAUCGAUAAAUAAAUAAAUGUAAUGAAAUGAUUCGAAUCGUUUAAUAUGAAACGACAGGUGUUUGAUGAAAUGCUUACAGUCCAGCGAUGACAACGUUGAGCAUGGUGGUGAAGGAUUCGCCGCCGUUUGC
rnacentral:lncRNA from 1 species